rfam:Populus trichocarpa scaffold_14_contig_7, whole genome shotgun sequence.
UCUAGAACUUGAGAUAUGGGCUGAACACUGAACAGUGUUUGGGCUGCAGGACAGAUUCAAACUUCUCUGUUGUUGCUACAAUUUGGUCUUAGAAAUGGCCUUUUUGAAUCUUGCAUUACCAUGAAAGUUUUAGGCCUAUGUCUUAGCUUUCCAUC